UACGUAGGGGGCAAGCGUUGUCCGGAUUUAUUGGGCGUAAAGAGCGUGUAGGCGGCCAGGUAGGUCUGCUGUGAAAACUCGAGGCUUAACCUCGAGAUGUCGGCGGAAACCAUCUGGCUAGAGUCCGGAAGAGGAGAAUGGAAUUCCCGGUGUAGCGGUGAAAUGCGCAGAUAUCGGGAAGAACACCCGUGGCGAAGGCGGCUUCCUGGACCGACACUGACGCUGAGGCGCGAAAGCUAGGGGAGCGAACGGG
rnacentral:rRNA from 1 species